GCAAGUCGAACGGUAGCACAGAGAGCUUGCUCUCGGGUGACGAGUGGCCGAUGGGUGAGUAAUGUCUGGGAAACUGCCUGAUGGAGGGGGAUAACUACUGGAAACGGUAGCUAAUACCGCAUAACGUCUUCGGACCAAAGAGGGGGACCUUCGGGCCUCUUGCCAUCGGAUGUGCCCAGAUGGGAUUAGCUAGUAGGUGGGGUAACGGCUCACCUAGGCGACGAUCCCUAGCUGGUCUGAGAGGAUGACCAGCCACACUGGAACUGAGACACGGUCCAGACUCCUACGGGAGGCAGCAGUGGGGAAUAUUGCACAAUGGGCGCAAGCCUGAUGCAGCCAUGCCGCGUGUAUGAAGAAGGCCUUCGGGUUGUAAAGUACUUUCAGCGGGGAGGAAGGCGAUAAGGUUAAUAACCUUGUCGAUUGACGUUACCCGCAGAAGAAGCACCGGCUAACUCCGUGCCAGCAGCCGCGGUAAUACGGAGGUCCCGAGCGUUGUCCGGAUUUAUUGGGCGUAAAGCGAGCGCAGGCGGUUAGAUAAGUCUGAAGUUAAAGGCUGUGGCUUAACCAUAGUACGCUUUGGAAACUGUUUAACUUGAGUGCAAGAGGGGAGAGUGGAAUUCCAUGUGUAGCGGUGAAAUGCGUAGAUAUAUGGAGGAACACCGGUGGCGAAAGCGGCCCCCUGGACAAAGACUGACGCUCA
rnacentral:rRNA from 1 species